UCCGGCGUCGUCUAAGGGCAGGACAGCGGACUUUGGAUCCGUGAAUGCUGGUUCGAAUCCAGCCGCCGGAA
rnacentral:tRNA from 1 species